UACGUAGGGCGCAAGCGUUGUCCGGAAUUAUUGGGCGUAAAGAGCUCGUAGGCGGUCUGUUGUGUCUGCCGUGAAAACCCGAGGCUUAACCUCGGGCCUGCGGUGGAUACGGGCAGACUAGAGGUAGGUAGGGGAGAAUGGAAUUCCCGGUGUAGUGGUGGAAUGCGUAGAUAUCGGGAGGAACACCAGUGGCGAAGGCGGCUUCCUGGACCGGUUCUGACACUGAGGAGCGAAAGCGUGGGGAGCGAUCCGG
rnacentral:rRNA from 1 species